GUGUGUGUGUGUGUGUGUGUGUGUGUGUGUGUGUGAAUGUGAAUAGCCUUCCCGCUGAAAACCCCUCCUUAGGUUCCCAUUGCUCUUGGGGUAAAAGCUAAAAUUCUUAUCAUGUCCAGCUGGCCCUGAAUGAUAGCGCCUAUUUUGUUUACCAUCUUGUUUUGGACCACAGUUUGUACUCUAAUGGCAUAGACCUUUCAGUUCCUCAAAGACCUGUUCUCCUUUUUUCUACAGAGGCUUUGAGAUAAGGAAACUAAAGCCUAAAGAAGUUUGUAUUUUCUUCAAGGUCAAAUGGAUACCAAGUGGGCUACCCACUCUGAGGUCCCAGCCUCCUAGAAUACCACCUGACACCAACUACAGGUUGACCUGUGGACAGACCACUGUUGUGACGAUACUACAGAAAAUCACGCUCCUCUCCAGGAUCCUUCUGUCCACCACUGCAGAAACCUGUACUGCUCAGACCCCCAUCCCACCCACAGGUUCCAAGGAGAAUAUCCAGGGGUUGAAAGGGAUGCAGCAGCAAAUGCUCACAUCAUUCUUCCAUGGCUCCGUUAAACAGGGCAUCCUCCUGCUGCCUGGGAAAACAAGACACCCCUCGCCAUGGAAAGCAUCCCCACCGUUGCCUGUACCCACUCAGACAUCCAAGUUGAUGAAAGGAGAAUAAAGGCCUAGAAAACUGGAUCUCAGAUGAAGAAACCCAGCUUUCUUCUUACAACAACUGUGUGGCAGGGGCAGAAUAGAUUUUCAAGAUUGCCAUCUCAUGUACAAACAAGAUGAGGCAUAAAAAGUGACAUUUGGGGGUAAUUUUUUACCCAACUUCUUUUUCCAAGAUCCACCCUUCUCUGACUAAAGAUGAUGCUCAAAGGCCAAAAGGCAGCGUGUGUUGUAAAGCAUCCUGAAUUGGAAGACACAGGUUCUAAUCUUGACCCUGCAGCCUUAACAUGGGUCAAAAAUGAUGAUUAUGUCCUGCACUUUCCUCACAGGAUCACUGUGAAGGUCAUGGAAAGAUGAUGGAAUUCAAAGCAGCACUGAGAAGCUGUUCAAAGCAUUUUCAGAGAACGUGUUCUCCAUAUCAGUCUGAGGAUAUCAUCUCUGUUAAACAACUCUAGAAGAUUAAACGAGGCCAAAUCUCUCAAUUAAUGGACAUCCUCCG